rnacentral:lncRNA from 1 species
GAGGAGGGCUGUGACUGGUGUUCUCAAGACAGGAGUGUAGCAUGGCUAUUCUCUGAGAGGCUCCACUCAGCAGCUGAUUCAGACAGAUGCAGACACCCUCAGCUAAACAUUGAAUGGAGCUUGGGAACUCAUGGAAGAAUUGGAGGGAGGAUUGCCAACCUGGAGAAGAUAAAAACCCCACAGGAAGACAGACUCAACUAACCUGAACCUUUGGUGUUCUCAGAGACUGAACCAUCAAAGAGCAUGCAUGGGCUGGACUUAGGCAUUCAUGCACAUAUGUAGCAGAUGUGCAGCUUGGUCUUCAUGUGUGUCCCAAACAACUAGAGCAGGGGCUAUCCCAAAAGCUGUUGUCUGUGCGUGGGAUGUAUUCUAGCUGGGCUGCCUUGUCUGGUCCCAGUGUGAAGGAUGUGCCUAGUUUCAUAGAUUUGAUGUGCCUGGGUGGAGGAAUACCCUUAGGGAGAGGCACCCACCAUGGGAUAUAAAGUGAAUAAGUAAAAAUAAUAGUAAGAUGUGGGAUUCAAAGUGCC